GACACAUGGUCGCAUGGUUGUGUGUGGAAAGUUUUUUCGGCCAGGGAUGUGCUCGCGGCCUAUCAGCUUGAUGGUGAGGUAAUGGCUCACCAUGGCUUCGACGGGUAGCCGGCCUGAGAGGGUGACCGGUCACACUGGGACUGAGACACGGCCCAGACUCCUACGGGAGGCAGCAGUGGGGAAUAUUGGACAAUGGGCGGAAGCCUGAUCCAGCAACGCCGCGUGGGGGAUGACGGCCUUCGGGUUGUAAACCUCUUUCGCCUAGGACGAAGCGCAAGUGACGGUACUAGGUAAAGAAGCACCGGCCAACUACGUGCCAGCAGCCGCGGUAAUACGUAGGGUGCGAGCGUUGUCCGGAAUUAUUGGGCGUAAAGGGCUCGUAAGCGGUUUGUCGCGUCGGGAGUGAAAACCACAUGCUUAACAUGUGGCUUGCUUUCGAUACGGGCAGACUAGAGGUAUGCAGGGGAGAAACGGAAUUCCUGGUGUAGC
rnacentral:rRNA from 1 species